GGGUGCGAUCAUACCAGCACUAAUGCACCGGAUCCCAUCAGAACUCCGCAGUUAAGCGUGCUUGGGCGAGAGUAGUACUAGGAUGGGUGACCUCCAGGGAAGUCCUCGUGUUGCACCCC
rfam:Spinacia oleracea cultivar SynViroflay scaffold12496.con0005.1, whole genome shotgun sequence.